GCGCAGGCGGAAGGGCAAGUGCCUUGUGAAAUCCCACGGCUCAACCGUGGAAUUGCUCGGCAGACUGCUUUUCUUGAACCCAACAGAGGUCGUCGGAACGAUAGGUGGAGCGGUGAAAUGCGUAGAUAUCUAUCGGAACGCCAAGGGUGAAGACAGGCGACUGGGUUGGUGUUGACGCUCAGGCACGAAAGCGUGGGGAGCGAACGGGAUUAGAUACCCCGGUAGUCCACGCCGUAAACGAUGUGCACUAGAUCGAGGAGGUUUUGACGCCAUCUCGGUCGUAGCGAAAGUGUUAAGUGCACCGCCUGGGGAGUACGGUCGCAAGGCUAAAACUCAAAGGAAUUGACGGGGACUCACACAAGCGGUGGAGCAUGUGGCUUAAUUCGAAGCAACGCGAAGAACCUUAUCCAGGGUUUGACAUGGUUGGAUUAACUUCCUCAAAGGGAAGCCACGCCCUCUGGGUGGAACAAUCACAGGUGCUGCAUGGCUGUCGUCAGCUCGUGCUGUGAAGUGUCGGGUUAAGUCCCUUAACGAGCGAAACCCCUGUCGUUAGUUGCCAGCGAGUCAUGUCGGGGACUCUAACGAGACUGCCGGUGUCAAACCGGAGGAAGGUGGGGAUGACGUCAAGUCCUCAUGGCCUUUAUGCCCUGGGCUGCACACGUGCUACAAUGGCAUGGACAGAGCGAAGCGAUGCCGCAAGGUGGAGCAAAUCGCAAAAACCAUGCCCCAGUUCGGAUUGUGGUCUGCAACUCGACCACAUGAAG
rnacentral:rRNA from 1 species